rnacentral:rRNA from 1 species
UACGUAGGGUGCGAGCGUUGUCCGGAAUUAUUGGGCGUAAAGAGCUCGUAGGCGGUUUGUCGCGUCGACUGUGAAAACCUACAGCUUAACUGUGGGCUUGCAGUCGAUACGGGCAGACUUGAGUUCGGUAGGGGAGACUGGAAUUCCUGGUGUAGCGGUGAAAUGCGCAGAUAUCAGGAGGAACACCGGUGGCGAAGGCGGGUCUCUGGGCCGAAACUGACGCUGAGGAGCGAAAGCGUGGGGAGCAAACAGG